rnacentral:tRNA from 1 species
ACACCUUUAGCUCAGUUGGCAGAGCAGUGGACUCCAAAUCCAUGUGCGAGGGUUCGAAUCCUUCAGGGUGUG